UCAAAGUUCUUUUUAACAACAUUACUCCUGUGAUCUUUCUCCCAAUCUCCUUCAGCUUGACCCUCCUUUUUGUGUGUGUGUGUGUGUGUGUGUGUGUUUCUUCUGCUGUUUUAUUUAUAGUCGUUGGCGGCUAAAAAAUGUUGCAAAGGGCUUUGAUAUUCUCUUCUUCAAAUCCAAUCUGUUCUCAAUUGCCAACGACAGCUCCGCCUGACAACACCGUGUUCCCCAAACGAAACGGCGGCUGGAUCAUCCCUUUCUCAUCCUACCAGCUACCGGCAUUUCGUUUGCGAAAUUACAGGCGAACCCUUCUUCCUCCACUCUGCUCAGCGAGUGACUCAGCAGCAAAUCGACCAAAUAUGGCGUCUCAAGAUGAACAAGACCCUCGGAUUUCCAACAUUUCUUCUGCGAUUCGUGUCAUCCCUGACUUCCCAAAACCUGGGAUAAUCUUUCAAGACAUAACAACUUUGCUUCUUGAUACCAAAGCAUUUCGUGAUACUAUUGAUUUGUUUGUUGAGAGGUACAGAGGGAAAGAUAUAUCUGUCGUUGCAGGUAUAGAAGCAAGGGGAUUCAUUUUUGGCCCACCUAUAGCAUUGGCUAUUGGGGCAAAGUUUGUUCCUAUGAGGAAACCCAAUAAAUUGCCGGGGGAGGUUUUAUCGGAGGAGUAUUCUUUGGAGUAUGGAAAGGACACAAUGGAGAUGCAUGUUGAUGCUGUCAAAGCAGGAGAACGUGCUUUGAUAAUAGAUGAUCUUGUUGCCACUGGUGGAACCUUGUCUGCUGCAAUCAGGCUACUCGGUAUUUGAAUUUAAAUAUGAAUAACGCGUAGGGGUGCAUGUUGUGGAGUGUGCUUGUGUUAUUGAAUUACCCGAGCUAAAGGGACGGGAACGGUUAGGAGAGAAACCACUGUUUGUUCUUGUAAGCUCCACUUGAUCAUCUUACAUAUUUUGUGGUGCAAGAGCUUGUUUAUUGGCCUUCAUUGAGUGUUGCAACAUGGCUAGAACUUUCCCCGAAAGCCUUGAAUAACUACUAUGUUAAAUAAAAAGAGCUACAUUAGGUAAAUAAGGUGAGACGUUAGAUUGAACUAAGAAGUAUGAUAACUUAGAUGUUGAUGUUUCCUGUUUCUCUAAAGAGCGAGUAUGGAGGACAAAGCUUUAUGUUCCUGCCUGUAAGGUUGAUUUGCCUUGUAUCAUAUGAUGAAAGGUAUAUUAUGUUGUUAAUGGCAUUGCUGUGUUUUCAAACUGAA